rnacentral:lncRNA from 1 species
CUGGGGGGAAGAUCAGAGUGCAAAAUCAACUCCUCAUUGGUCUUGCUGCAAAAAAUGGAGCUAGUGACUCACAGGAUUUUGAUCACCUCAGUAAAAGGAGGAUUUCUUCAAUACCUGACUCCACAAGGUCGAACAUUGCCCUCACUCAUUAUUCCCUUGUCUGUAUAACCAGGAGCCAUGUCCACCACAGUCAUCAUGUUAAACUGUACUGGUAGCUCAAGUUCAGCCAGUUACUUUACAUUAUUUCUAUCUUGUAGUGUGCCAAUAAUUUCCAAAGUAUAGGAAUCCAGUCUUAUGAGUCUACAUUUUUUGUUGAUGCCAGAUGCACGACUGUACAUGUGUCUGCCAUAAAAUGUAGGCUGUUUGAAUGAGAUCAGUUCCACAAGUAACCUAUAUCACUUCCUAAAACUAACUUCUUAUCACUUGCUAAAACUAAAACUAACUUGUCCUCAUCAUAACUUACUACUUCACUAAUUCUUUUAUGACCUGAAAGCUUUGACAGCAAAAAUGUAAUGUUUUGCCAGUUUAUCAACAAAAAUACCAAAUAGCUGUUGGUAAAAAAGAUACUCUCUCAGAACAUGGUUUCCUGAGAAAUUUGUGGUGAAUACUUAACAAGAAGUAUUAUUUUAUCAAUUUCAGCCACAAAACUUAGUUUAGAAUGAAGACCUGAGCUGUUUGAACUGCAGUAAUUAUUUUCAAAUAUACCAAAGUCAUACAGCAGUUGUGUUAUCUACCUGAAAACAAACAAACAAGUGAGCUUUCAAUAGCUAGAUAAAAAAUAGAAAUUCCUGCAUGAUACAGUUUUCAACCAUUCUUCUUGUCACUUUUUCCUCUUUCAAUAAGCCCUAAGUCUCAACUCUCUGUAAGUUAGGAUUAGUCUCCUGUAUAUUCCAUGUCUAAAAAGAGGACACAGGUUCCUAAGACACAAAGGUGACAAUGAGUAUUUGCCUAAAAAAAUGAAAUUUGGCACAGGGAACAGCCUUAGUCUCACAUGCGCCUCAGUGUUGGAAUGAAAUUGGUGUUGAUGUGUGAACCAGGGUAAGGGUUUACAUGAAUUCACAGUGAAUUUUGUAAUUGAUGUCAUAACUGUCUGCUUUAUAUUCUUUGUGGUUCUGUGCAUGUGUCUGUAGCUCACAGGGAAUUCCAAAAUGAAUGACACUCCACAGGGAAUAAAACAGAGCCUGAAGGUGUCCUGCC